rnacentral:rRNA from 1 species
AAUCCAUAGGUUAAUGAGGCGAACCGGGGGAACUGAAACAUCUAAGUACCCCGAGGAAAAGAAAUCAACCGAGAUUCCCCCAGUAGCGGCGAGCGAACGGGGAGGAGCCCAGAGCCUGAAUCAGCAUGUGUGUUAGUGGAAGCGUCUGGAAAGGCGCGCGAUACAGGGUGACAGCCCCGUACACAAAAGCGCAUGUGCUGUGAGCUCGAUGAGUAGGGCGGGACACGUGGUAUCCUGUCUGAAUAUGGGGGGACCAUCCUCCAAGGCUAAAUACUCCUGACUGACCGAUAGUGAACCAGUACCGUGAGGGAAAGGCGAAAAGAACCCCGGCGAGGGGAGUGAAAAAGAACCUGAAACCGUGUACGUACAAGCAGUGGGAGCACCCUUUGGGGUGUGACUGCGUACCUUUUGUAUAAUGGGUCAGCGACUUAUAUUCUGUAGCAAGGUUAACCGUAUAGGGGAGCCGGAGGGAAACCGAGUCUUAACCGGGCGU